GAUACGGGAAUUCCUAGCUCGAGACCUUUCACACGAAGCCAAGCACCUGAGUUGCAAUGACUCCAAACCUUGUUCACAUUGUUGGCCAUAUGUGAGGCCCUUGUGAGCCCAUCUAAGGUCAUAUAUUUAAUAAAAUAUAAAGAGGCCCACCAAGUCACUUAAAUCCUUGUGUUUGUGUCAACGUUUGUUUGAGUGCUUUUGUCGUUUGAAUACGUUGUAACUCUUGGCUCUAGUCCGAAGAGAAUUCUUUUGAGUUUCAAACAAGAAUCCAUUCUGGGAAAGAGCAUACUCAUACCUUAUGGAUUCACGGGUUCCUAUCCAAUCUACAACUCUUGUAGAACUUGAGUACGAGUGAACCAAGAGAGUGUGAGUGAGGACAGGGAUUUUAAACUAACUUCUUUGUUGUUUGUGUAGGUGAUACCUUGAUAAUGGAGGGAACCAUGUCUCAAACCGUGGAUUCUAACGAAAUGGAGAAUAUGAGGGUCACUCUUGAUGCUAUGACCCGAGCUCUUGAAAGGUUGAGUAUAGAAGUGGGAGUCAUAAGAGGAGAAGUGACAACUAUUAGUGGGAGGUUAGAACAAGUGGAGAGUCAAAGGAAUUCUCGUCCUUCUACUCCUCGACAUGUUUCGUCAAGUGGACAUGAUAAAAUUUCCUCCGCCACCGUUAGUCCCAAAACAUGGCCACAAUUGCCAAAUUCUUCACUAGCUCCACUAAAUGCCGCAAGACAAACCACUUAUAACCCUCUAAACCGAGACUCCAAUAGACCAACCCAUUCCCAAAUGUCUCAAGUUCCAUAAGAGGUACUCGAACGUCAAAUGCCUCCACAAAAUCCAAACCCCCCUCCAAGCUCCACUAAACCAAAGACCACCACCUUCACAAAAUCAAAUUCCUCUGAAUCAAGUUCCAAAUGUCCAAAAUCAUCUCGUCCACCUUAAGGAAUAUGGUAGAGAGGAUUAUAAAGGGUAUGGAGCCUUUGACAAUACCUACAUGAGGGAGAAAGAGACAAGAGGAGGUCGUGUGGAUUCAAGGAGAUACCGAGGGUAUGGAGAAAGGGGAAACCGACACCAAGAGAGACAUGUAGGCAUCAAUACCAUCAAAUUGAUCCUACCUAUCUUUAAGGGUGAAAGUGACCUCGAGGUGCAUCUUGUUUGGGAGUCGUCGUGUGAUAAAGUGUUUUAAGUGAAUGAUAUCUUGGAGAAGAAGAAGAGUUAUUAUGCCAUAGCUCAUUUUGAAGGCUAUGCUAACACUUGGUGGGAAUACGUCAAGCGGUUCGGCAACGAGUUGGUAGAGGGACAACCAUUACUAUGGUUUCGGUUGAGGUACCUAAUGAGGCAAUGGUAUCUUCCCAAAAGUUAUCAUCAUGAGUUUCUUGCUAGGUUGUACAAUUUGUGACAAGGGAAUAGAAGUGCUAUGGCAUACUAUGACAAGUUUCAACAACUCAUGUUGAAGCUUGAUCAUCGGGGAGAACAAAUUGCCCAUGACAUCAGUUGGUUCAAGUAUGGGUUGGACAAAGAGAUCUCCACUCAUUUGACGCUUCACAAGUUUGAUACCGUUGAAGGGAUUUUCCAAGUGGCUCUUGAGAUUGAAAGGGAGCUUAAAGAGAGGUCAUCGUUCAAGGCAAAGGGACCAUCAACCUCGGGUUAGCUGAGGAAUAAAGAUAUGGUUCAACCAUCUUUGGGUUGGCCCAAAAACAAGGACCAACCCACCACUACAAGGCUGUCCGAGCCUAAAAUAGUCCAUAAAUUUCCCCCCCGACAAGAAGCUCACAAGUAUCCUAAUCCUAAAGGGUUCUAAUGUUUCAAGUGCCAAGGUUGGGGACAUAAAGCUAAUGAAUGUCCAAACCAGCAUAAUAUGAUCCUAAGGGAAGGGAGAUUGUAUUACCUUGGUGAGGAAGUGAGUCUUGAAAAAGAGGAGAAUGAGGCCGAGCCUCAAGAUGGAGAGAGACCUAAAAAUAAGCCACAUGAUGAUGAUGAUUGUGAGGAUGCUUAUCUGCAAGAAGGGGAGUGCAUAGUUCUAAACUUCGUAGUGAGGCGUGUCAUGAUUAGUAAGGUGAUAGAUGACCCUAGCCAACGGGAGAAUUUAUUCCAUACUAAAUGUCUAGUGAAGGAAAGUGUGUGUACUAUGGUGAUAGAUAGUGGAAGUUGUGCGAAUGUGGUUAGUGUUGCAAUGGUGAACUUCUUGAAAUUGCCGACUACACCUCACACUAGUCUUUACAAGUUGCAAUGGUUGAAUGAAUGCGGCGAGUUAAAGGUCACAAGGCAAUGUGUGAUACUUUUUAAGGUAGCCAACUACCAUGAUGAUGUGCUUUGUGAUGUGAUACCAAUGCAAGCUUGUCACUUGUUGUUAGGAAUGCCUUGGCAAAAUGAUAGGUAGACCAAACAUGAUGGAAGGUCCAAUUGGUAUACACUUGAGAAGGAUGGCCGAAAGGUCGCUCUUCAUCCAUUAUUGUCUUCCCAAGUGAAUGAAUUAUACCAGCAGAUGUGGGAAUUGAGAGAAAAGGGAAAGAAGGUUGAGAGUGGGGGAAAAAGAGGGGAAACCGAGAGUGAGGGAGUAGGGGAAACCGAGGGGCUCCUAAUUUCUAAGGGGCAAGGAAGUGUGGUGAUGAUGGCUAGGAGGAAAGAAUUAUUUGUGUAUCAUGACGAGGACACUCCGAUGCUCCUCUUGGCUCAUUGUUUUAACACUAACGCCACUAACAUUUCUAUUUCUCCUCCUAUUUCUCAUGUUUUGCAGGAUUACGAGGAUGUCUUCCCAAAGGAAUUAUCGCAAGGAUUGCCCCCACUUCGGGGAAUUGAGCACCAAAUAGAUUUUAUGCCGGGUUCACAAUUGCCCAACAAAUUGGCUUAUAAGAGCAACCCGAUGGAUACCAAGGAAUUGUAACGCCAAGUUGAGGAACUCCUCAAUAAAAGAUAUAUCAAGGAGACCCUUGUGCAGUUCCGGUGAUACUAGUUCCCAAGAAAGAUGGGACUUGGCAUAUGUGCGUUGAUUAUUGAGCCAUCAACAAGAUAACGGUAAAAUAUCAUUAUCUUAUUCCUAGGUUAGAUGAUAUGCUUUAUGAAUUGAGUGGUUCGUGUUUGUUUUUUAAAAUGGAUUUGAGGAGUGGCUAUCACCAAAUUCUUAUUCAAUUGGGUGAUGAAUGGAAAACCGCCUUCAAGACCAAAUUCGGUCUCUAUGAAUGGAUGGUUAUGCCAUUCGGCCUAACAAACGAUCCAAGUACUUUCAUGAGGCUAAUGAAUCAUGUGAUGAAGCCAUUUAUCAGAAAGUUUGUUGCUAUUUAUUUUGAUGAUGUAUUGGUGUAUAGUAAGUCCUUAGAUGAGCAUGUAAAGCAUUUACAAUGUGUUUUUGAUGCCCUCCAAAAGGAGAAAUAAUAUGCUAAUCUAGAAAAGUGUUCUUUUGGUGACCAUGAGAUUGUAUUUCUUGGGUUUUUGGUGAGCUCAAGAGGGGUCGAAGUGGAUGAAUCUAAGAUUGACGCCAUUAAAAAUUGGCCAACUCCCAAAACUGUAGGUGAAGUGAGAAGUUUCCAUGGGUUGGCUAGUUUUUAUAGACGUUUUGUCAAAGGAUUUAGCACCAUUGCCGCCCCCUUGACCGAAGUGAUUAAAAAAGAUCGGCCUUUCAAGUGGGGAGAUAAACAAGCUAAGGCCUUCGAGGACUUAAAAGCUAUGCUCAUCUCGGCCCCUUUGCUACAAUUUCUGAAUUUUGAUAAGACUUUUGAGGUCGAAUGUGAUGCAAGGAAAGUCGGCAUAGGCACGGUUUUAAUGCAAGAAUUGAAGCCUAUUGCCUACUUUAGCGAAAAGCUCAAAGGAGAGACUCUAAACUAAUCUACGUAUGAUUUAGAGUUGUAUGCCUUGAUUAGAGCCUUGGCCACUUGACAACAUUAUUUAUGUCCUAAAGAAUUUGUGAUCCGAACAGAUCAUGAAUCCUUGAAGCAUCUACAAGCACAAGACAAGCUUAACCGGCGGUAUGCCAAAUGGAUUGAAUUUCUUGAAACUUUCCCUUAUGUUAUUCAAUACAAGAAGGGUGAAGACAAUGUGGUUGCCGAUGCUUUGUCCCGAAAACAUGUUCUUGUAUCUACUUUGUCGUCUAAGUUGAUGGGGUUUGAAAGCCUCAAGUCUUUAUAUCCCGAGGACCCUCACUUCGCUCCUAUCUAUAGUGAAAGUGAAGAGUUGGAAAGGGAUAUGUGGGUUACAGAUAGGGGUUCCCAUCCCUAUACUAAAUUUGAUGGAUACUUGUUUAAAGGUAGACGAUUGUGUGUUUCCUCAAGUUCGUGGAGAGAAUUAUUUGUGAGGAAAGCAUACAAUGGCAGUCUAAUGGGCCAUUUUGGGGGUCGAGAAGACCCUCGGAAUUUUGGAAGAACAAUUUUAUUGGCCUAGAAUGCACAAGGAUGUGGGUCGGAUUUGUGGCCAAUGUGUUGAGUGAAAAGGAGCCAAGUCACGGCUCUAACCCCACAGGUUGUACACCCUUUUGUCCAGCCUUUUGCAUCCUUGGCUUGACAUAUCAAUGGACUUUGUGUUGGGAUUGCCGAGGACUAGAAGGGGGCGGGAUAGUAUUUUUGUCGUGGUGGAUUGGUUUUCCAAGAUUGCUCACUUUAUUCCUUGUUCUAAAUGUGAUGAUGCACCUAGCGUAGCCUCUUUGUUUAUUGAUAAUGUUGUAAAACUUCAUGGUAUUUCGAGGACCAUAGUGAGUGAUAGGGAUUCUAAAUUCCUAAGCCACUUUUGGAAGUCCAUGUGGGGUAGACUUGAUACUAAGUUGUUAUUUUCGACUUCAUGCCACCCACAAACCGAUGGCCAAAUGGAAGUAGGAAAUAAGACCUUAGGGUCUAUGCUACGGUCCAUGGUUAAAGGAAAAAUGACUUCUUAGGAGGAGCACUUACCGUUGAUUGAGUUUGCCUAUAAUCGUGUUAUACACUCGAGCACGGGGAUGACACCCUUUGAGUGUGUAUACGACAUCAACCCCCUUACCCCUUUGGAUUUAACCCCUUUGCCAAGUGAUUAUGUGAUAAGGUUAGAUGGAAGCAAAUGGGCUGAGGCCAUGAAAAAGCUACAUGAGAAGGUGAGGUUACGGUUGGAGAAGAAAAACCAAGAAGUUGCGAGGCGAGCCAACAAAGAAAGAAGAAAGAUCAUUCUUGAACCGAGAGAUUGGGUGUGGGUGCACCUAAGGAAGGAUAUAUUCUCGCCUCAAAGGAAUGCUAAGUUGAUGCCAUGGGGUGAUGUCCCAUUCUAAGUAUUAGAAAAGAUCAACGACAAUGCCUACAAGAUUGAUCUACCCCCGGAAUAUCAAGUGCACAACACUUUCAACAUGUAUGAUCUCUCUCGGGUGGAAACUGUAGAGGAUGGUAAUAAUCCAAAUUUGAGGACAAAUUCCCUUCAAGAUAGAGAGGAUGAUACGGGAAUUCCUAGCUCGAGACCUUUCACAAGAAGCCAAGCACGUGAGUUGCAACAACUCCAAGCCUUGUUCACAUUCUUGGCCAUGUGUGAGGCCCUUGUGAGCCCAUCUAAGGGCCUGUAUUAAAUAAAAUGUAAAGAGGCCCACCAAGACACCCCAAACCCACCCACUUAAAUGCCAAGGGUAAUUUGGUCUUUG
rnacentral:lncRNA from 1 species